rnacentral:rRNA from 1 species
CCAAUAGCGUAUAUUAAAGUUGUUGCAGUUAAAAAGCUCGUAGUUGAAUUUCGGGAUUGACACAUCGGUCGUGCCUUAAGGGGUAUGAACUGGUGUAGUCAAUUUCUCACCUUCUGGAGAACCGCGAUGUCCUUAAUUGGGUGCCGCGGGGAACCAGGACCUUUACUUUGAAAAAAUUAGAGUGUUUAAAGCAGGCAUUUUGCUUGAAUACAUUAGCAUGGAAUAAUAAAAUAGGACGGAUGAUUCUAUUUUGUUGGUUUCUAGGACCACCGUAAUGAUUAAUAGGGAUAGUUGGGGGCAUUAGUAUUCAAUUGUCAGAGGUGAAACUCUUGGAUUUAUUGAAGACUAACUACUGCGAAAGCAUUUGCCAAGGAUGUUUUCAUUAAUCAAGAACGAAAGUUAGGGGAUCGAAGACGAUCAGAUACCGUCGUAGUCUUAACCAUAAACUAUGCCGACUAGGAAUCAGACGAUGUUAAUUUUUUAAUGACUCGUUUGGCACCUUACG